GCUCCAGACUCCUACGGGAGGCAGCAGUGGGGAAUAUUGCACAAUGGGGGGAACCCUGAUGCAGCGACGCCGCGUGGGUGAAGAAGUAUUUCGGUAUGUAAAGCUCUAUCAGCAGGGAAGAAGAUGACGGUACCUGACUAAGAAGCCCCGGCUAACUACGUGCCAGCAGCCGCGGUAAUACGUAGGGGGCAAGCGUUAUCCGGAUUUACUGGGUGUAAAGGGAGCGUAGACGGCAGGGCAAGUCUGGAGUGAAAGCCCGGGGCCCAACCCCGGGACUGCUUUGGAAACUGCCAUGCUGGAGUGCUGGAGAGGUAAGCGGAAUUCCUAGUGUAGCGGUGAAAUGCGUAGAUAUUAGGAGGAACACCAGUGGCGAAGGCGGCUUACUGGACAGUAACUGACGUUGAGGCUCGAAAGCGUGGGGAGCAAACAGGAUUAGAUACCCUAGUA
rnacentral:rRNA from 1 species